UACGGAGGGUGCAAGCGUUAUCCGGAUUCACUGGGUUUAAAGGGUGCGUAGGCGGUCAGGUAAGUCAGUGGUGAAAUCUCCGAGCUUAACUCGGAAACUGCCUUUGAUACUCUCUGUCUUGAAUAUGGUGGAGGUAAGCGGAAUAUGUCAUGUAGCGGUGAAAUGCUUAGAGAUGACAUAGAACACCUAUUGCGAAGGCAGCUUACUACGCCUAUAUUGACGCUGAGGCACGAAAGCGUGGGGAUCAAACAGG
rnacentral:rRNA from 1 species